rnacentral:rRNA from 1 species
UACAGAGGUGGCAAGCGUUGCUCGGUAUCACUGGGCUUAAAGGGCGCGUAGGCGGUGCGGUGCGGUUUCGGUGAAAUCCCUCGGCCCAACCGAGGAACAGCCGGGGCUACGGCCGCGCUAGACGACAUCAGGGGACAGUGGAACUUCCGGUGGAGCGGUGAAAUGCGUAGAUAUCGGAAGGAACGCCGGUGGCGAAAGCGAACUGUCUGGGGUGUCUGUGACGCUGAGGCGCGAAAGCCAGGGGAUCAAACGGG